UGCCCCUGCUGUCCAGUUCAUAGAGAAAUCUGGAGAUUAUAUUGCUGUGCACUUGGUAGGGCGCAUGCCCUUGAAUUUAAGGCAAAUUAUUGCAUUCAUACAGCACAAGCCAUGAGCAGAAAAAUACAUGAUAGCCCAUAAACUCACCGAGGAACUUCAUCGUUCCAUAGUACAUGCAGUGAGAUCCGUCAUAUGGAUAUUACACUGACAUCUCUUAUAAUCCAUACAUUUACAAAGACAUGUCUCACUAAUUACAGUGUCCAUUACGAUGCUCCUAAAUAAAUUAUUUCAUAGUCGCUAAUAUAAGAUAUUUGACCUUUAACAGAAGAAACAGAUAAACCAAAAAGACAUGGUGAAGCUUGACUCAAAUCCGCAAGCAAUUCCCCAGAAGCCUAUCAAGCAGGUCAUCAUGACCAGGUUCCGGUUUUAAUUGC
rnacentral:lncRNA from 1 species